rnacentral:rRNA from 1 species
GAUGAACGCUGGCGGCGUGCCUAAUACAUGCCAGUCGAGCGAACAGACGAGGAGCUUGCUCCUCUGACGUUAGCGGCGGACGGGUGAGUAACACGUGGAUAACCUACCUAUAAGACUGGGAUAACUUCGGGAAACCGGAGCUAAUACCGGAUAAUAUAUUGAACCGCAUGGUUCAAUAGUGAAAGACGGUUUUGCUGUCACUUAUAGAUGGAUCCGCGCCGCAUUAGCUAGUUGGUAAGGUAACGGCUUACCAAGGCAACGAUGCGUAGCCAACCUGAGAGGGUGAUCGGCCACACUGGAACUGAGACACGGUCCAGACUCCUACGGGAGGCAGCAGUAGGGAAUCUUCCGCAAUGGGCGAAAGCCUGACGGAGCGACGCCGCGUGAGUGAUGAAGGUCUUCGGAUCGUAAAACUCUGUUAUUAGGGAAGAACAAAUGUGUAAGUAACUAUGCACGUCUUGACGGUACCUAAUCAGAAAGCCACGGCUAACUACGUG